UCCGUGGUGGCUCAGACGGUAAAGCGUCUGUCUACAAUGCAGGAGUCCCAGGUUCGAUCCCUGGGUCAGGAA
rfam:TPA: Bos taurus chromosome 8, whole genome shotgun sequence.